CGACCGCGACCCCAGGUCAGGCGGGACUACCCGCUGAGUUUAAGCAU
rnacentral:rRNA from 1 species